UCCACUUGUUGAAAAAAAAAAAUGUUGCAGAGAAUUAUUUUGAUCUUCCUUGCUUCUUUAGGAUAUGGUAGUAGUGACCGUGUGUGGCAGCCUGAAAGUUCAGUGCAGGUUCUUCAGAAACAACAGACAGAAAUCAUUUGCACCUUUGAAACAACGGAUACUGAUCCUUACCUCUUCUGGUACAUUCAGCCUCUCAGCGGCUCUCCUCGGCAUUUAAUGACAAUAACAUCAACCUACAGCACAAAUGCAGAAGGUUUCAAAGAACGAUUUGAUGCAACACUAAACCGAAUAAACAAAACAGCUCAUCUGACUAUCUCGUCUUCUAAGCUAUCCGACUCUGCGAUUUAUUUCUGCGCAUUGCGGCCCACAGUAAGGAAAAUAAAAUUAAGAGCAUUACAAAAACUAUUGUCAAAGAAGACUGCCUUGGAAAUAAGUUUAAAUGUGCAUAUUUUGCCUUAUAAUGAGAAAUUUAGAACAUUUUAUGUACAAAAUUGAACAAU